AUUGUCAGUCUUUGGGCUUCAUUCAGGGUUGGAUGUAAGAACAGCAUGAAUCAUGGGAAGGAAGGCGUGCCUCAUGAAGCCAAGAGCCGCUGCAGAUACUCCCACCAGUAUGACAACCGAGUGUAUACCUGCAAGGUAUGUGAUCGAAUGUCCUAACUGUGGCGUGGUCUAUCGUAGUCGGCAGUACUGGUUUGGAAACCAAGAUCCUGUGGAUACGGUGGUGCGGACAGAGAUUGUGCAUGUGUGGCCUGGAACUGAUGGGUUUCUGAAGGACAACAACAAUGCUGCCCAGCGCCUGUUGGACGGGAUGAACUUCAUGGCUCAGUCGGUGUCCGAGCUUAGCCUUGGACCCACCAAGGCUGUGACUUCCUGGCUGACAGACCAGAUCGCCCCUGCCUACUGGAGGCCCAACUCCCAGAUUCUGAGCUGCAACAAGUGUGCGACGUCCUUUAAAGAUAACGACACUAAGCAUCACUGCCGAGCCUGUGGGGAGGGCUUCUGUGACAGCUGUUCAUCAAAGACUCGGCCAGUGCCUGAGCGGGGCUGGGGCCCUGCG
rnacentral:sRNA from 1 species